rnacentral:tRNA from 1 species
GCCUGGGUAGCUCAGUCGGUUAAGCGUCCGACUUCAGCUCAGGUCACGAUCUCGCGGUCCGUGAGUUCGAGCCCCACGUCAGGCU